AUGGAGUACAAGUUUGAGACUCAGGAGUUUGAGAUGGAACAAGUACGUGAAGAUGCAGAUGAGCAACGAGGAAGGGUUAAAAUCCUAGAGAAGGAGAACCUAGAGUUGCGAGAAGAGCUGCCUAAGAUGAAGGCCCGAGAAGUGGUGACGGAUGAUAGGAUUUAUAAGCUCCGCAAAGAGAGGGAGUACUGGAAAACCCAGUAUGAGGAAGCUCUUGAUAGUGGAGCGAAACUUCAGGAAGUGGGAGAAAAUGGUCCCUUCAUCAGCAAUGAUAAGGAAUGGGAUGGUACUAUGACCAUGGCAGCUGAAUCACACAUCGGUCCGAGCUAG
rnacentral:rRNA from 1 species